rnacentral:lncRNA from 1 species
CAGAAAGGUUCAUAGGAUAUUGAAAGAUAAAAAGCUCCCAAACUUCCUAAAAGGCAGCAUCAAUUAAGUCACCUAAAUGACCUAGGCUGUUUGCCCUUAUCAAACGGCAGAAAGAUCCAAUUCAAGUGAGACCAGUAAUGGAAAGAUUCACAGCGCCUAUGUACAGUUUUGAAAAGAGAUUGGCUAAAUGGGCAUAUGAAAAGUUAAAAAAUUACCAAUACGCAACUUCCUCCUCUAAAGACCUUAUUGAUAAAAUAUUAGAAGUAGGACCAUUACCAGAACAAAUAAUGCAAGUAUAUGACUUUAAAUUGUUAUACCCUUCAAUAAAACUAGAACUGGCA